CACUGCCCCAGGAAGCACCUCUAGCAGCCAUCUGAGGAGUGGCCAGUGGAGGUAUCCCUAGGCUGUAAUGUAAACACUGCUUUUUCUCUGACAGACAGUGUUUACAGCAAAAAGCCUGAAGGUAAUGAUUCUACUCACCAGAACAAAUACAAUAAGCUGUAGUUGCUCUGGUGACUAUAGUGUCCCUUUAAGUUUUACCACUAUAGGAUGCUAGAUAUGACAAGAGAAUAACUCUCCAGGAUAUACCUUCUGUUGGAGGGGAACUUUUAUCCAGGGUUGAAUAGCCCACAUAUUAAAGUAACUGUCUUCAGGCUACAUGUACUAGGCCCUACUGUAAGCCUUCACUAAUGAAUAAAGACAGUGUAUCACACUUUUCCUCUUUAUCUAAAUUAUUUGACCAAUUCCCCUAAUCACAGGAAUUCUUCUAUCAUUCAUAAAUCAGCAAAGCUGGUCUAUCUUCAUAUAGUCAUCGAUUAUCCAAUGAACUUGCUAAGUUGCCCUCUAUUAAAUAUAAUUCACUGGUGAGG